rnacentral:tRNA from 2 species
GGGGGUUUAGCUCAGUUGGCUAGAGCGUGUGACUGGCAGUCACAAGGUCAGGGGUUCGAUUCCCCUAAUCUCCACCA